rnacentral:lncRNA from 1 species
UCAGCUGUUGGACUCCCUCCGUCUUUAAUCAUGUACAAUCUAAAAUUAGUCGGUCCUCCAAUAAAAAACUUCUGGUAUCCUCCUCGGCAUGUGGGCAUGAUCUGAUCAACUAGGAUUUCCUCAAUGGUGUCCGUCGGGGCUGAUCGUCGAAGAAGUGAUGAUGAUACAGGUGGGAUGUCUUCAUCUUUAACAUAGCGACCAUCAUAGGGCUGCAACUCUUCAACAUAGUGACCAUCGUAGGGCUGCAACUCUUCAACAUAGAAGAUGGGGCUAACCUGCAAAUCAUCUGAUAACUCGAGCACAAAGGUCUUGGGUCCCAUCCACUUCA